GACGAACGCUGGCGGCGUGCUUAACACAUGCAAGUCGAACGGAAAGGCCUGCUUUCCCUUGUGGAUUGCGGGUACUCGAGUGGCGAACGGGUGAGUAACACGUGAGUGAUCUGCCCCCAACUUGGGUAUAAGCCUGGGAAACUGGGUCUAAUUCCCGAUAGGACUGCAGGGUGGUGCCUGUGGUGGAAAACGAUUUUCUAGUGGUUGGGGAUGAGCUCGCGGCCUAUCAGCUUGUUGGUGGGGUAAUGGCCUACCAAGGCGGCGACGGGUAGCCGGCCUGGGAGGGUGGACGGGCACAUUGGGACUGAGAUACGGCCCAGACUCCUACGGGAGGCAGCAGUGGGGAAUAUUGCACGAUGGGCGGAAGCCUGAUGCAGCGACGCCGCGUGGGGGAUGACGGCCUUCGGGUUGUAAACUCCUUUCGACCGCGAGGAAGCCACCUGGUUGGAAGGGUGGUGACGGUAGUGGUAGAAGAAGCACCGGCUAACUACGUG
rnacentral:rRNA from 1 species